ensembl:lncRNA LINC00844 long intergenic non-protein coding RNA 844
GAGACAAAGGAAACACAGAGACAUAGACAUGGAUCUGGGAAAUACACCUUUUGCUACUCGUUCAGUUUUAGCAAGGAGGUUUCUUGCAUGGCUAAGCAAAACUUAAACUUCCUCUGAGAAUUACAGGAAUUACAGGACCUGACAAAGCUAUGAAGAUUAAAGAGAAACAUUUUGCACUGUGCUGGGGGAUUCUACCCACAUAAGUCAGCAUGUUACUUGCUAGAUAAAAGAGCAAUGAAUGGAGUACUUCAUUUUAAAUGCCGCAACUCAGCAAGAAAAAAAAAGUGUCUGGUAUCUUCCUGAACAACUACCUGGUAUUAUACAGACGCCUAAAUACCUGACGUGUGACAGCAAAUGCCUGUUCCCAUGGAGCUGCUGCUUCUGAGAAAGCUUGAAACAGACAAAGAAUAAGGUAGAAAUGACCUCCUCACUAGAGAUGAAAAGAAGCUGUCCUGGUGAGGAAAUUGGAUCCCAGCUUUUGCCGCUAAGAUUCUUCUCUUCUGCCUCUGGUUUUCUUUAUUGUUCACCCCCAGAAGCAAUCGCUCUCUCACAAGGCAACACACGCAAUAGAGUGAACAGUGAUUCUACAGUCUGAUUCUGGAAAAGGCGACCACAGUGGAAAGAGUGAUCCACACAAGUAUAGGGCCUCCUGAUUAAAACACUAAGAUUUCAUCUCACGCUGUGCCUUUAUACUGUUGAGAUACUAAAGAGGACACUAAAGAUCAAAGUGCUACUUUACAACAUUUUGAAGAAAACAACUGCUACCUGUGUAUUAGUUUGUGCAGAUGUGUUACACAGCUUAGCUGUGUCUGUACCAGUUUAUUAGAAUCAAAGUAUUUUUAAAGUACCUAAGGCCAGGCACAGUGGCUCACACCUGUAAUCCCAGCACUUUGGGAGGCUGAGGCAAGUGGAUCACUUGAGAUCAGGAAUUCAAGACCAGCCUGGCCAACAUGGUGAAACCCCAUCUCUACUAAAAAUACAAAAAUUAGCCAGGCAUGGUGUCACAUGCCUGUAAUCCCAGUGACUCAAGAGGCUGAGGUAUGAGAAUCAAUCGUUUGAACUCAGAAGGAGAGGUUGCAGUGAGUGGAGAUAGCAACACUGUACUCCAGCCUGGGUGACAGAGUGAGAUCCAGUCUCAAAAAAAAAAAAAAAAAAAAAAAAA